rnacentral:rRNA from 1 species
AGAGUUUGAUCAUGGCUCAGGACGAACGCUGGCGGCGUACUUAAUGCAUGCAAGUCGAGCGGGGUCCAUCCCCUGGCAACAGGGGUGAAGACCUAGUGGCGAACGGUCGCGUAACACGUAGACAACCUGCCCGGAAGUGGGGGAUAACGGUGGGAAACUGCCGCUAAUACCGCAUGUGGCGGAGUGUAGCAUUGCGCUCACGCCAAAGGAGCAAUCCGCUUCUGGAUGGGUCUGCGGCCUAUCAGGUAGUUGGUGGGGUAACGGCCUACCAAGCCGACGACGGGUAGCGGGUCUGAGAGGAUGAUCCGCCGGACGGGGACUGAGACACGGCCCCGACUCCUUCGGGAGGCAGCAAUGAGGAAUAUUGCGCAAUGGGGGAAACCCUGACGCAGCGACGCCGCGUGGGUGAGGAAGUCCUUCGGGAUGUAAAGCCCUUUUCUCGGGGAAGAUAAUGACGGUACCCGAGGAAGAAGCCCCGGCUAACUACGUGCCAGCAGCCGCGGUAAUACGUAGGGGGCAAGCGUUGUCCGGAUUUACUGGGCGUAAAGCGCGCGUAGGUGGACGUGUAAGUCUGGCCUGGAAGCCCCCGGCUCAACCGGGGAAGGUGGCUGGAAACUGUGCGUCUUGAGGUGGAGAGAGGGGUGUGGAAUUCCUGGUGUAGCGGUGAAAUGCGUAGAGAUCAGGAGGAACACCCGUGGCGAAGGCGGCACCCUGGCUCCAUUCUGACGCUGAGGCGCGAAAGCGUGGGGAGCGAACGGGAUUAGAUACCCCAGUAGUCC